rnacentral:rRNA from 1 species
ACUAAGCUUCAGCUAUAUACGACCGUACCGCAGACCGACACUGGUGCGCGAGAUGAGUAUUCUAAGGCGCUUGAGAGAACUCUGGAGAAGGAACUCGGCAAAUUGACACCGUAACUUCGGGAGAAGGUGUGCCUUUAGUAGGUGAACCUGUACAAGGGGAGCCCAAUAAGGCUGCAAAGAAUCGGUGGCUGCGACUGUUUAUUAAAAACACAGCACUCUGCAAAGACGAAAGUCGACGUAUAGGGUGUGUCGCCUGCCCGGUGCUGGAAGAUUAAAUGAUGGGGUGCAAGCUCUUGAUUGAAGUCCCAGUAAACGGCGGCCGUAACUAUAACGGUCCUAAGGUAGCGAAAUUCCUUGUCGGGUAAGUUCCGACCUGCACGAAUGGCGUAACGAUGGCCACACUGUCUCCUCCAGAGACUCAGCGAAGUUGAAAUGUUUGUGAUGAUGCAAUCUCCCCGCGGAAAGACGGAAAGACCCCAUGAACCUUUACUGUAGCUUUACAUUGGACUUUGAACAGAUCUGUGUAGGAUAGGUGGGAGGCUUUGAAGUGAGGACGCUAGUUCUCAUGGAGCCAACGUUGAAAUACCACCCUGGUGUGUUUGAGGUUCUAACCUUGACCCGUUAUCCGGGUUGGGGACAGUGUAUGGUAGGCAGUUUGACUGGGGCGGUCUCCUCCCAAAGCGUAACGGAGGAGUUCGAAGGUACGCUAGGCACGGUCGGAAAUCGUGCUAAUAGUGCAUUGGCAUAAGCGUGCUUGACUGCGAGACUGACAAGUCGAGCAGGUACGAAAGUAGGACAAAGUGAUCCGGUGGUUCUGUAUGGAAGGGCCAUCGCUCAACGGAUAAAAGGUACUCUGGGGAUAACAGGCUGAUACCGCCCAAGAGUUCAUAUCGACGGCGGUGUUUGGCACCUCGAUGUCGGCUCAUCUCAUCCUGGGGCUGUAGCCGGUCCCAAGGGUAUGGCUGUUCGCCAUUUAAAGAGGUACGUGAGCUGGGUUUAAAACGUCGUGAGACAGUUUGGUCCCUAUCUUCCGUGGGCGCUGCAAGAUUGAGAGAGCCUGCUCCUAGUACGAGAGGACCGGAGUGGACGCACCUCUGGUGUAUCGGUUGUCACGCCAGUGGCAUUGCCGAGUAGCUAAGUGCGGAAGAGAUAACCGCUGAAAGCAUCUAAGCGGGAAACUCGUCUCAAGAUUAGUCUUGCCGGGGCCUUGAGCCCCCCGAAGAGUCGUUCGAGACCAGGACGUUGAUAGGCUGGGUGUGGAAGCGCAGUAAUGCGUUAAGCUAACCAGUACUAAUUGCUCGUGAGGCUUGACCCU